UCACAUAUAUAUAAGGACAUGAUCAUAAUAGAAGUCACAUAAACAUUUUAUUUAAAGUAAGAAAAAGGUUGGAAGAUGGAAGAAAGGAAUAGGUAGUCCUUGAUCCAAUAAGGGUGGAAGAAGGAAUGUAAAAGAAAAGAAGAAAAAAAGAAACAUGGAAUAUGUGACUGGCAGCGGGGAUGAGAUCAAGCUCUGGUGAGGUUACAGGCAGUAACAGUCAUGUCGAUCGAUCUAUUGUAGUCGUUCCCAAAUCUUAAUUCUGCUUCAACAACGCUUUGUUCGCAAAGACGUCUGUCAUUGUCAAUGCAUACACGAGCUUGGGCAGGACUCAACCCCUGAAGGCGGGAGCAGCAAGAAGUAGACCCCACCACUCCCAGUCUGAUGCACUCCCGAAACAACCCAGUUGUAUUAUUUAUAGGACAUUCAACAUCAUCAUCUUGAGACCUCACCAUUGAGACUGAUAACAGACUCAGUGAGAGGAAGACAGCCAAAACAUAUUUCAUCCAACCCAUUCUCACAACACUACUUCCUUACUUUUCUUUUUU
rnacentral:lncRNA from 1 species